rnacentral:misc_RNA from 1 species
AAGUCGUAACAAGGUUUUCGUAGGUGAACCUGCGGAAGGAUCAUUAGUGAAUUAACUUGAAGGGAGUCCCUCUUAACCGGAGAAGGCCCUUUAAUCCACUAUUUCUUACACACUCGUGCAUUUGUCCCCUUUUUUACUUAAACCCUUUUGCAUUCGAAACGGUUGUUGUGAAUUCAAAUGUUAAUUGAAAGAAAAACUUUCAGCAAUGGAUCUCUUGGCUCUC